ensembl:lncRNA
CUGAAACUGUACUGUAAAAGGAAGCCUCGUUUGUUUCCAUGGUAUUACCAGGCUCUUACCAUAUAAGUUGUAACUGGUUAAUCCCUUUUCCAUGCAAUCAACACAAACCAUAUAUGUUCUGCAACAUCGUUCACCAGUAGUUAAGCACUUUAAUUGUUGUUAUAAAACCCCAAACCACUGUUGAUGAAAGACAUAUUAAAAUUAAACAAAAUCAAAGGCUUAUCUUUCAAACAAUGCAUAUCUCACAAACAGGCACUGAACACUGAAGAAAUCGGACAAAAAAAAGAGCCGUCCACAUCAACUCAAUUUAAAUGUUACUGAUGGUGUUUUCAUAAAACACAUGACAGUGUUAUGUAGGCCUGCAGCGGAUUCGAAUUGUAUCCGAAUCCGUUCGGUUUGUUUACCACAGUUCGGAGCAUUCUGGAGAUCCGCGGAUUUCGGUUUCAUGAAGGCAUUGCCUUAUGUAGCGUAUUUUGCCUACUGUAGCCUACGUCCGAUACAAAAGGGUGUUUAGGACCCAGCGGAAUGCAUUCUCUCCAGUGCUGCCCGAGCCAAUGAGGUAGCUGUAAUAGGUUGUUUUCUGAAGUUCAAGCGCACGAUUCCUAAAUUUAAAGAAAGUAAUUGAUACAAUUAUAUUCUAAAUAUACGGGAGAUAAAUACAAACGGGUGAUAAGCGGGAUAACGGCCUUCGAGGUCGACCGGUUCGAUGGAAAUAAUGGACAGGUAGAGGCAACUCUGGCUUCAUGCUGCGCUCGUCGCCAGAGUUCUAAGCCUCGUCGGCCGUAAUCCCUUACAUGUGUCAGUGCACCAUGUUUUCAAAUGCAUUUAGGGGAACAUUUAUUGCACAAAAAAGCCUUGCAAGUUGUCUGAUUGCAGUCAAUUAACACAUUGCAAAUAGCCUGUGGGUCUCAUUCAUUUUUGUGUUUCUCCCCCAAACCCUCCGUCAAAAAAAAGUCUGCCUUUUUACUACCACGGACAUGAUCCUAAUCCGAACCGUAUCCGAAACCGAGGCCCAAAAUGGUUAUCUGAACCGAACCGUGGACACACUGAUCCGUUUCACCCCUAGUGUUAUGGCAGGUGACCACAAGGAAGACUGCUUCAACCUCUACAAUUUGAAUAAGUGGUGAAUGCCAUGCAGCAAUCUGCCUAUGGGAGCAUCUUUGUGGUCAUUCGCAAACCAAUGAGUCCACUCGAUGAAUGAGAGAUGACUCUUUAGUGUCUUCUCUGUGAGGUAUCCCUGCAGUCUC